rnacentral:lncRNA from 1 species
CAAAAAAAAAGCAUGUUCUAUCCUUCUAGUUUAACACAAUCCUUCUAUAUUUAUAUUAAAUUUAACUGUUUAAAGGUUCGUCGGUAGCCCUUGCAAUUGUUUUGAGGCGCUAUACCAAAUGGGUCAAAACAGAAGCACUCCUUGUGAGAGCUCCUGAAAUGGUGCUUUCGAAUUCAUAGCGUGCUUUUGUCAGGCAAAACCUAAAAAAAAUGAGCUUUUCACCAGCUCCCUGCUUGCUCACUGAGUCAAGAUCCUAUUUUUCCCUCCUACAUUGAGCUCAUAGGCAGGUUGUGGCAAGGUGAUGACACGUGGUUAGAGUAGCGGGGAGGUGGGGCUAAGUCGCCGGCACGGACCUCAGGGACCUGAAUCGUGGCAUGAAUGGAUCAGAGUAGCUAGAGUUGUUAGGUUAUGCGGGCACUUUGCCGGGAAUCGUCAGGACUAGCACGGAAGAACCAAAGCGGAGAUGGCGGCCAUGCAGGUGAGGUGUGGAGUUGGGAGUCGUCGGGAUGAAGUAGUGGAAGUGAGACGUAUAUGAGGGGCAAAGUUGUGGGCGGUUGUGAGAUAAGCAGGGAGGAUGAGCAGAGAUGUUGGUUUUCAGAUGAAGAUGAGCAAGAAACGAACGGUGGGCUGA